AUGAGGGCGCCGCGGAGGCCGAUGGCGGUGGUGCUGAGCUGGGUGCGGAGGCAGCCGCCCAAGGUCAAGGCCUUCCUCGCCGUCGUCGCGGGCAUGACCGCGCUCGUCUUCAUCCGCUUCAUCGUCCACGACCACGACAACCUCUUCGUCGCCGCCGAGGCCGCGCACGCGCUCGGCAUCGCCGUGCUCAUCUACAAGCUCACCAAGGAGAAGACCUGCGCUGGACUUUCACUCAAGUCUCAGGAUUUAACAGCACUGUUCCUGGCGGUUAGGUUGUACUGCAGCUUUGUUAUGGAGUAUGACAUCCAUACAAUACUGGAUUCAGCUACACUAGUAGCUACUCUUUUCGUCAUUUACAUGAUUCGGUUCAGACUGAGGUCAACUUAUAUGUUGGACAAGGACAAUUUUGCAUUGUACUACGUGGUUGUACCAUGUUGUGUGCUGGCAUUUAUUGCUCAUCCUUCAACCUCACAUGUCAUGAUCAAUAGGAUCUGCUGGGCCUUCUGUGUUUACUUGGAAGCUGUUUCAGUGCUGCCCCAGUUGCGCUUGAUGCAAAAUACAAAGAUUGUUGAACCAUUCACAGCUCAUUAUGUGUUUGCAUUGGGUGUGGCAAGGUUCCUUAGCUGUGCACACUGGGUCCUUCAGGUCUUGGAUACUCGUGGCAGAUUAUUGACUGCUCUGGGCUAUGGCUUUUGGCCAUCGAUGGUGCUCCUCUCUGAAAUCGUCCAGACGUUCAUCCUUGCAGAUUUCUGCUACUACUAUGUGAAGAGUCUUGCUGGCGGACAACUAGUGCUGCGACUUCCUUCUGGGGUGGUGUAA
rnacentral:rRNA from 1 species